AGGCCUGGACGGAAGGCGCGAAGCCAAGAAAAGUUUCUCCAGGAGCACACCCGCAGGGUGUUCGUCGGAAUGCCUCAGCGGGCAUGCCAUCGGCACAGUAGCACUGGCGGGCUUUGUCAUUUUGCUUCGGAUUCCGCAUCAGAAAAUGGUGUCGUUUGCGGUGAAGAUGCUCGUUAUCUUGCUCCCUGCGGGCAGCCUUCCAACUUUCUGCUGCUUCUCUCUCAACCAUAUCUGUCGAUAUCAAUAGGCAGAAGCAUAAUCAGGUCAAGUAGAUGAAGUCCUCCACCACUGCCAUUGCCUCUAGAUUUGUUCCCUUUGGUAUUGGCAUUGUCAUCGUGGGCUUGCAUCGCCUUUUCCAGUCCUGUUUUCAAUGUAGUACCAUGUUUAGCAUUUUCUUCUUCGUGUGAUGGCUGAUGGUUUUGAGAGGUCAACUGAGUAUUACCUUCAUGGCAGAUCCUUCCACUUGAGAACCAGCACAGUACAUCCAAUCUUUAUAUACUACUAUGGAGCUAAUUGGUUGCUUA